rnacentral:lncRNA from 1 species
AGAUGCAGUUAUGUCCAUCGGGGAACUUACAGCCUAGCAAGGAAGGCAGCAAUUCAACCUGUAAGUCUAAAAGUGAUGGGUGUCAUGAAAAGGUGUCAAAUGUGGGGGUGUGCUCUCAGCACCUUCUGGAAACUUCUCCAGCCCCAACUUCCCUAGACUGUACCCCUACAACACAGAGUGCAGCUGGCUGAUCGUGGUGGCCGAGGGAUCCUCGGUGCUGCUCACCUUCCAUGCCUUUGACCUAGAGUACCACGACACCUGCAGCUUCGACUUUCUGGAGAUCUACAAUGGGGCCUCACCAGACAAGGGCAACCUGCUGGGGAGGUUCUGCGGCAAGAUGUGUGUGGCGGCGUCCUGACUGGCCUGUCAGGGGUCCUCACCAGUCCUGAGUAUCCCAACAACUACCCGAACAGCAUGGAGUGCCACUGGGUGAUCCGGGCCGCUGGCCCUGCCCACGUCAAGCUGGUGUUCGUGGACUUCCAGGUGGAGGGCAAUGAAGAGUGCACCUAUGACUACGUGGCUGUGCUUGGGGGGCCUGGCCCCACCC